AUUGAACGCUGGCGGCAGGCCUAACACAUGCAAGUCGAACGAGUGGCGGACGGGUGAGUAAUGUCUGGGAAACUGCCUGAUGGAGGGGGAUAACUACUGGAAACGGUAGCUAAUACCGCAUACCAUCGGAUGUGCCCAGAUGGGAUUAGCUAGUAGGUGGGGUAACGGCUCACCUAGGCGACGAUCCCUAGCUGGUCUGAGCGGAUGACCAAGCACACUGGGAAUGAGGCAAGGUCCAGACUCCUGCGGGAGGCAGCAGGGGGGAAUAUUGCACCAUGGGCGGAAGCCUGAUGCAGCCAUGCCGCGUGUAUGAAGAAGGCCUUCGGGUUGUAAAGUACUUUCAGCGGGGAGGCGUUACCCGCAGAAGAAGCACCGGCUAACUACGUGCCAGCAGCCGCGGUAAUAC
rnacentral:rRNA from 1 species